CAGAAAAAUCAUCUUUGCUGGAUACUGCUGAAAGCAAGAUAGCUGAACUCACAGAGAAGGUUGUUGAACAACAGAAGUUGAUUCAGAAGUUGGAAGAAGACAUAUUAAAGGGGUAUAACUCCAAGGACCAAAAGAGCAAUUUAUUUGAUGAGUGGGAUCUUUCGGAGACAAGGGGUGAGCUUUCUGAGAAUGUAGAUCGAAAACAUUUCCCCUUGGAUCAAGAUCAAAGUUCAAUGCUAAAAGUAAUUUGUAGUCAGAGGGACCGUUUUAGAGCACGCUUGCGAGAGGCAGAAGAGGAAAUUAGACAAUUGAAGGAGAAGAUAGG
rnacentral:misc_RNA from 1 species